CCGUGCUAGACGGGGAGGUAGCGGUGCCCUGUACCCGCAAUCCGCUAUAGCGGGGUCGAACUCCCGUCCGAGGCCCCCGCGGUCGGGGCCAGCACCGGAUACGGGGUGUUGAAGGCCGGGUCCCGCGCAACGCGGACUCGUGAACCCCGCCAGGCCCGGAAGGGAGCAACGGUAAGCGAGCCACCGCGUGUGCCGCGGGGGAGCCGGGCCGGAGCCCACGGUUCGGCCAGCGCCCGGGUGCGGGUGUCGACGACGGGUGCACGG
rfam:Thermaerobacter marianensis DSM 12885, complete genome.